rnacentral:rRNA from 1 species
UGGGGAAUUUUGGACAAUGGGCGAAAGCCUGAUCCAGCAAUGCCGCGUGUGUGAAGAAGGCCUUCGGGUUGUAAAGCACUUUUGUCCGGAAAGAAAUCCUUGGCUCUAAUACAGCCGGGGGGAUGACGGUACCGGAAGAAUAAGCACCGGCUAACUACGUGCCAGCAGCCGCGGUAAUACGUAGGGUGCAAGCGUUAAUCGGAAUUACUGGGCGUAAAGCGUGCGCAGGCGGUUUGCUAAGACCGAUGUGAAAUCCCCGGGCUCAACCUGGGAACUGCAUUGGUGACUGGCAGGCUAGAGUAUGGCAGAGGGGGGUAGAAUUCCACGUGUAGCAGUGAAAUGCGUAGAGAUGUGGAGGAAUACCGAUGGCGAAGGCAGCCCCCUGGGCCAAUACUGACGCUCAUGCACGAAAGCGUGGGGAGCAAACAGGAUUAGAUACCCUGGUAGUCCACGCCCUAAACGAUGUCAACUAGUUGUUGGGGAUUCAUUUCCUUAGUAACGUAGCUAACGCGUGAAGUUGACCGCCUGGGGGAGUACGGUCGCAAGAUUAAAA